rnacentral:rRNA from 1 species
CCCGCACAUCGGUUCGUGUUGCGGUCCCGGCUACCGGUGCCGUGCGGCUCUCCUCGUGGCAGCCCGGCUCCCGACGACGUACGAGGAGCGACCCUCGGGGCAUGGAGUGAACCUUCCGCACCGCGGUACCCGCACGUGCGACCCGUAGCGGCGCCAGCGCGCAAUUCGCCGGCGAACGACGGAACGCGCCUCCGGCUCGGCGGAGCAAAGGCAGCGCCGUCCGCUUUGGCCACCAAGGCCACAGGUUCAGGUCGCGCCCCGGCUCCAGUCUGGUUAGACUACUACAGCAACAAGUACAGGAACUACCGUUCUACCGUUGCUCGCCGUGGUGGUCAGGUCGCUCUACCAUUACUUCUUAGCUUCACUGUCAAUCUCUGGCUCUCUAAACAGCAGCACCGGCACGUGCCGCGCUCCGACGGCUAACCUUCGCGAAAGCGGCCCGACUCCUGGCGGCGCGGUGGUGCGGCUUGGUUGCCGACAUCGGCGGCUUGAGCGUCCGCUAGCUACGACGUCGGUCCUCGGCACCGCGACUGCCUUAGCGAGGCGGUCCUCGGCAGAGCGUCUACCUUAGCGAGGCGGCCCCUCGCACGACUAUUGCACAAAACUAAUCUCUUGUUCUCUUAUCUGUGUCUCUACAUUUACUUGUCAGCAAAUGAAAUAAUACUACACUAGUGUGUAUAUAUACGGUGAUCUCUCCACAGACAUCUCUCUCUGCGGACAGGUCGCUUGGCUG